AAUCUGGCCUCUCGGGGUCCGAGUUGUAAUUUGUAGAGGAUGUUUCGGGUACCGCCUCGGUUUAAAUUUCUUGGAACAGAAUGUCAGAGAGGGUGAGAAUCCCGUCUUGGACCGGCGGUAGGGCCUAUGUGAAACUCCUUCGACGAGUCGAGUUGUUUGGGAAUGCAGCUCAAAAUGGGUGGUAAAUUUCAUCUAAAGCUAAAUAUUGGCCAGAGACCGAUAGCGCACAAGUAGAGUGAUCGAAAGAUGAAAAGCACUUUGAAAAGAGAGUUAAACAGUAUGUGAAAUUGUUGAAAGGGAAGCGCUUGCAACCAGACUUGAGCGCGGCGGUUCCCCCUUGCUUCUGCUUGGGUUACUCCGCCGUGUCCAGGCCAACAUCGGUUCUGGGGGUCGGUCAAAGGCCUUGGGAAUGUAUCUACCCACGGGUAGACUUAUAGACCAGGGUGUCAUGUGACCUCCCGGGACCGAGGAACGCGCUCGGCAAUGUUGUCAGCGACCCG
rnacentral:rRNA from 1 species